UACAGAGGGGGCUAGCGUUGUUCGGAAUUACUGGGCGUAAAGGGCGCGUAGGCGGCCCUCUAAGUCGAACGUGAAAUCCCUGGGCUCAACCCAGGAACUGCGUCCGAGACUGGGGGGCUAGAAUCCGGGAGAGGGAUGUGGAAUUCCAGGUGUAGCGGUGAAAUGCGUAGAUAUCUGGAGGAACAUCGGUGGCGAAGGCGGCAUCCUGGACCGGUAUUGACGCUGAGGCGCGAAAGCCAGGGGAGCAAACGGG
rnacentral:rRNA from 1 species